rnacentral:ncRNA from 1 species
UAAAGGUUUGGUCCUGGCCUUUUUAUUAGUUGAUAGUAAAAUUAUACAUGCAAGUCUCAGCAACCCUGUGAGAAUACCCUUUAAAUCUAUAAGAUCAAAAGGAGUGGAUAUCAAGCACGCCAUUAGGCAGCUAAUAACAUCUUGCUAAGCCACACCCCCACGGGUUACAGCAGUAACAAAAAUUUAGCAAUUAACGAAAGUUAGACUAAGUUAUACUAUUAUAGGGUUGGUAAAUUUCGUGCCAGCCACCGCGGUCAUACGAUUAACCCAAACUAAUAAAUAUCGGCGUAAAGCGUGCUCAUGGAUAAAAAUUAAUAAUAAAGAUAAAUUACUUCUACACUGUAAAAAGUUAUAGAAUUACUGAAAAUAAACUACGAAAGUGACUUUACUAUGCCUUAUAGCACGAUAGCUAAGACACAAACUGGGAUUAGAUACCCCACUAUGCUUAGCCCUAAACCUUAAUAAUUUAAAACAAAAUUAUUCGCCAGAGAACUACUAGCAAUAGCUUAAAACUUAAAGGACUUGGCGGUGCUUUAUAUCCACCUAGAGGAGCCUGUUAUAUAAUCGAUAAACCCCGAUAUACCUCACCACUACUUGCUAAUUCAGUCUAUAUACCGCCAUCUUCAGCAAACCCUUAAAAGGUGAAAUAGUAAGCUUAAUAAUUUCCAUAAAAACGUUAGGUCAAGGUGUAGCCUAUGUAGUGGAACUCAAUGGGCUACAUUUUCUGACCCAGAAUAUUUUACGGAUAUUUUCAUGAAAUUGAAAAUUAAAGGAGGAUUUAGUAGUAAACUAAGAAUAGAGAGCUUAGUUGAAUUAGGCCAUGAAGCACGUACACACCGCCCGUCACCCUCCUCAAGUAUAUAAAUUAUUUUAACCAUAUUACCUUAUAAUAAACUACAAGAGGAGAUAAGUCGUAACAAGGUAAGCAUACUGGAAAGUGUGCUUGGAAAACCC